rnacentral:rRNA from 1 species
AGUGAACGCUGGCGGUAGGCCUAACACAUGCAAGUCGAACGGCAGCACAGUAAGAGCUUGCUCUUACGGGUGGCGAGUGGCGGACGGGUGAGGAAUACAUCGGAAUCUACUUUUUCGUGGGGGAUAACGUAGGGAAACUUACGCUAAUACCGCAUACGACCUACGGGUGAAAGCAGGGGAUCUUCGGACCUUGCGCGAUUGAAUGAGCCGAUGUCGGAUUAGCUAGUUGGCGGGGUAAAGGCCCACCAAGGCGACAAUCCGUAGCGGGUCUGAGAGGAUGAUCAGCCACACUGGAACGGAGACACGGUCCCGACUCCUACGGGAGGCAGCAGGGGGGAAUAUUGGACAAUGGGCGCAAGCCUGAUCCAGCCAUACCGCGUGGGUGAAGAAGGCCUUCUGGUUGUAAAGCCCUUUUGUUGGGAAAGAAAAGCAGCAGGUUAAUACCCCGCUGUUCUGACGGUACCCAAAGAAUAAGCACCGGCUAACUUCGUG